UUAUAAUCUAACUAUAACCCAGUGAUAUGUCCUUGUGACUGGCAGUUUUUACCCCUGAAUAAGAUAGGGUAAUCAUCAGGCACUCAAGGUAAUGAGCCCCAAUUCAGGUUUUUCAAUUUAAAGGCCACCACAAUUUAAAGGCCACCCUGUGAGGUUAAACAUUCCAGCCAAUUCCUUUGUCCCAGAACGGAAGGAAAAUGGAAGUGGGGUUAGACCCAAGGGGAGGUUACAGAAAAAUUCAGACUGAAGGACUAACAGGCAUAGUCUGUUAGAGUCGGGCCAAGCCAGUGGCCUUCAUGCCUUCCCGGUGCCUGGGCAACACAGAUGCCAACCAUCAGCCCAACAGUUCUCCUAGUUCUGUUCAUCAUGGACUCUAAUCAGUGCCUUUAUCCAGAAGCCCAAAGUCCCCAGACUAGUACACCCAAGUGGGAAAAAACCCUCUGUUAGGUUCCCCCUCACAACAAGAUGUCUUCUCUCAUUCAAAUAGAUCUUACUGCUUUUUAAUAAAAUGACAUACUUUAGUCUUUAUAGUACUUUAAUCAAAAAACCGCUGAA
rnacentral:lncRNA from 1 species